AGUAUCGUGUUUACACCACGGAGGUCGAAAGUUCGAUUCUUUCAGCACCUA
rnacentral:tRNA from 1 species